GCUGCAUGUUGUAGGCUUUUCAACUCACUAUAUGAGUUUGAUCUUGUUAUCUUUAAUCAGUCGUUGAGAAGAAAGCAAGAAAGUGCAGAUGAUCGUGCCGUGAUUUUGCCAUGUAAGGACCUGGAAAAUGAACCAAUGGUAGUUCUUGGAGGUUCAGUCAACAUCAAGAUGCGGUACCUGAUGUCCAUGCAGAGUGGAGAAACGACUUGAGUAGGGCUAGUGAUCGCCUCCUUGCAGUUCAUCUAAUUUGAAAGUAUCUAUGCCUUGGACAUGGCAAGUGAUAAUUCAAUUUUCUUUUGUUGUGAACAAAUUUGAAUGAU